rnacentral:rRNA from 1 species
UACGUAGGGUGCGAGCGUUGUCCGGAAUUAUUGGGCGUAAAGGGCUCGUAGGCGGUCUGUCACGUCGGGAGUGAAAACUCAGGGCUUAACCCUGAGCCUGCUUCCGAUACGGGCAGACUAGAGGUAUGCAGGGGAGAACGGAAUUCCUGGUGUAGCGGUGAAAUGCGCAGAUAUCAGGAGGAACACCGGUGGCGAAGGCGGUUCUCUGGGCAUUACCUGACGCUGAGGAGCGAAAGCCAGGGGAGCAAACGGG